rnacentral:rRNA from 1 species
CCCUUAGAUGUCCUGGGCCGCACGCGUGCUACACUGACGCAUACAGCGAGCACUUUCCAGUUCCGAGAGGCUACUGGUAAUCAUCAAUAUGCGUCGUGAUGGGGAUAGAUCUUUGGAAUUCUGGAUCUUGAACGAGGAAUGCCUAGUAAUCGCAGGUCAUUAGCCUGCGAUGAUUAAGUCCCUGCCCUUUGUACACACCGCCCGUCGCUACUACCGAUUUCGAGUGGUCAGGUGAAUCUUUCGGACUGUGGGCGCCCUUGAGGUGUUCGCGGAAAGUCAGGUAAAUCUUAUCGCUUAGAGGAAGUAAAAGUCGUAACA